GAGGGUACAGCUCAGUGGUAGAGUAUAUGGCUAGCAUGCACGAGGUCCUGGGUUCUCAAUCCCCAGUACCUCCG
rnacentral:tRNA from 1 species